rnacentral:rRNA from 1 species
GAUGAACGCUGGCGGCGUGCCUAAUACAUGCAAGUCGAGCGAACGGACGAGAAGCUUGUUUCUCUGAUGUUAGCGGCGCACGGGUGUGUAACACGUGGAUACUCCCCCUAUCUGUCUGGGAACACUUCGGGACACCGUCGCUUAUACCGGAUAAUAUUUUGAUCCGCAUGGUUCAAAAGUGAAAGACGGUCUUGCUGUCACUUAUAGAUGCAUCCGCGCUGCAUUAGCUAGUUGGUAAGGUAACGGCUUACCAAGGCAACGAUGCAUAGCCGACCUGAGAGAGUGAUCGGCCACACUGGAACUGAGACACGGUCCAGACGCCUACGGGAGGCAGCAGGAGGGAAGCUGCCGCAAUGGGCGAAAGCCUGACAGAGCAACGCCGCGUGAGUGAUGAAGGUCUUCGGAUCGUAAAGCUCUGUUAUUAGGGAAGAACAGAUGUGUAAGUAACUGUGCACAUCUUGACGGUACCUAAUCAGAAAGCCACGGCUAACUACGUG